rnacentral:rRNA from 1 species
GGAUUAGAUACCCUGGUAGUCCACGCUGUAAACGAUGAUCACUAGAUGUUCGGACUUCGGUCUGAGUGUCCAAGCGAAAGCGAUAAGUGAUCCACCUGGGGAGUACGUUCGCAAGAAUGAAACUCAAAGGAAUUGACGGGGGCCCGCACAAGCGGUGGAGCAUGUGGUUUAAUUCGAUGAUACGCGAGGAACCUUACCUGGGCUACAAUGCCUCUGACAGACGCCGAAAGGUGUUUUUCCUUCGGGACAGAGUGCAAGGUGCUGCAUGGUCGUCGUCAGCUCGUGUUG